rnacentral:rRNA from 1 species
UACGUAGGAUGCAAGCGUUGUCCGGAAUUAUUGGGCGUAAAGAGCGCGCAGGCGGUAUGACAAGUCAGAUGUGAAAGAGGCCGGCUUAACCGGCAAGGGUCAUUUGAAACUGUCAGACUAGAGUGCAGCAGAGGAUAGUGGAAUUUCCGGUGUAGCAGUGAAAUGCGUAGAGAUCGGAAGGAACAUCUGUGGCGAAGGCGACUAUCUGGGCCAACACUGACACUGAGGCACGAAAGCGUGGGGAGCAAACAGG